rnacentral:rRNA from 1 species
GACGAACGCUGGCGGUGUGCUUCACACAUGCAAGUCGAACGGAGUAGCAAUACUCAGUGGCGGACGGGUGAGUAACACGUGGGAAUCUACCAUUAGAUGGGGAAUAACAGGCCGAAAGGACUGCUAAUGCCGCAUAUGUAUGUGCCUCGACAGGGGCGUAUAUGAAAGGAGUAAUCCGUCUGAUGAUGAGCCCGCGUCCGAUUAGCUAGUUGGUAAGGUAAAAGCUUACCAAGGCGACGAUCGGUAGGUGGUCUGAGAGGAUGAUCACCCAACAAAUGGGACUGAGACACGGCCCAUACUCCUACGGGAGGCAGCAGUGGGGAAUUUUACGCAAUGGGGGGAAACCCUGACGUAGCGACACCGCGUGAGCGAAGAAGCCCUUGGGGUGUAAAGCUCUGUCAACAGGAACGAAAAAAAAU